rnacentral:rRNA from 1 species
UCGUCAGCCCGUGUCGUGAGAUGUUGGGUUAAGUCCCGCAACGAGCGCAACCCUUGUUACUAGUUGCCAGCAUUGAGUUGGGCACUCUAGUGAGACUGCCGGUGACGAACCGGAGGAAGGUGGGGACGACGUCAGAUCAUCAUGCCCCUUAUGACCUGGGCUACACACGUGCUACAAUGGACGGUACAACGAGUCGCAAACUCGCGAGAGUAAGCUAAUCUCUUAAAGCCGUUCUCAGUUCGGACUGUAGGCUGCAACUCGCCUACACGAAGUCGGAAUCGCUAGUAAUCGCGGAUCAGCAUGCCGCGGUGAAUACGUUCCCGGGCCUUGUACACACCGCCCGUCACACCAUGGGAGUUUGUAACGCCCAAAGUCGGUGGCCUAACCUUUAUGGAGGGAGCCGCCUAAGGCGGGACAGAUGACUGGGGUGAAGUCGUAACAAGGUAGCCGUA